GGUUAAGCGACUAAGCGUACACGGUGGAUGCCCAGGCAGUCAGAGGCGAUGAAGGGCGUGCUAAUCUGCGAUAAGCGUCGGUAAGGUGAUAUGAACCGCAACAACCGACGAUACCCGAAUGGGGAAACCCAGUGCAAUCCGUUGCACUAUCAUGUCAUGAAUACAUAGUGGCAUGAGGCGAACCGGGGGAACUGAAACAUCUAAGUACCCCGAGGAAAAGAAAUCAACCGAGAUUCCCCCAGUAGCGGCGAGCGAACGGGGAACAGCCCAGAACCUGAAUCAGUUUGUGCCUUAGUGGAAGCGUCUGGAAAGUCGCGCAGUAAAGGGUGACAGCCCCGUACACAAAAAGGCACUUGCUGUGAGUUCGAUGAGUAGGGCGGGACACGUGACAUCCUGUCUGAAUAUGGGGGGACCAUCCUCCAAGGCUAAAUACUCCUGACUGACCGAUAGUGAACCAGUACCGUGAGGGAAAGGCGAAAAGAACCCCGGCGAGGGGAGUGAAACAGAACCUGAAACCGUGUACGUACAAGCAGUGGGAGCACCUUCGUGGUGUGACUGCGUACCUUUUGUAUAAUGGGUCAGCGACUUAUAUUCUGUAGCAAGGUUAACCGUAUAGGGGAGCCGCAGGGAAACCGAGUCUUAACUGGGCGUUAAGUUGCAGGGUAUAGACCCGAAACCCGGUGAUCUAGCCAUGGGCAGGUUGAAGGUUGGGUAACACUAACUGGAGGACCGAACCGACUAAUGUUGAAAAAUUAGCGGAUGACCUGUGGCUGGGGGUGAAAGGCCAAUCAAACCGGGAGAUAGCUGGUUCUCCCCGAAAGCUAUUUAGGUAGCGCCUCGUGAAUUCAUCUCCGGGGGUAGAGCACUGUUUCGGCUAGGGGGCCAUCCCGGCUUACCAACCCGAUGCAAACUGCGAAUACCGGAGAAUGUUAUCACGGGAGACACACGGCGGGUGCUAACGUCCGUCGUGAAGAGGGAAACAACCCAGACCGCCAGCUAAGGUCCCAAAGUCAUGGUUAAGUGGGAAACGAUGUGGGAAGGCACAGACAGCCAGGAUGUUGGCUUAGAAGCAGCCAUCAUUUAAAGAAAGCGUAAUAGCUCACUGGUCGAGUCGGCCUGCGCGGAAGAUGUAACGGGGCUAAACCAUGCACCGAAGCUGCGGCAGCGGACGUAUCACCCAAGCAGAUUCACUGAAGUGGAUAACGAUUGACGGAGCGCAGCGACGUCAAUGCGCCAUCAAAGUCGAGUCGACUUCGGGAUACGUCCGUUGGGUAGGGGAGCGUUCUGUAAGCCGUCGAAGGUGUGCUGUGAGGCAUGCUGGAGGUAUCAGAAGUGCGAAUGCUGACAUAAGUAACGAUAAAGCGGGUGAAAAGCCCGCUCGCCGGAAGACCAAGGGUUCCUGUCCAACGUUAAUCGGGGCAGGGUGAGUCGACCCCUAAGGCGAGGCCGAAAGGCGUAGUCGAUGGGAAACGGGUUAAUAUUCCCGUACUGGGUGUUACUGCGAAGGGGGGACGGAGAAGGCUAUGUUAGCCGGGCGACGGUUGUCCCGGUUUAAGCGUGCAGGCUUGAGUUCCAGGCAAAUCCGGAACUCUUUAAGGCUGAGGCGUGAUGACGAGGCACCACGGUGCUGAAGUAACAAAUGCCCUGCUUCCAGGAAAAGCCUCUAAGCAUCAGGUAACAUCCAAUCGUACCCCAAACCGACACAGGUGGUCAGGUAGAGAAUACCAAGGCGCUUGAGAGAACUCGGGUGAAGGAACUAGGCAAAAUGGUGCCGUAACUUCGGGAGAAGGCACGCUGGCGCGUAGGUGAAGCGACUUGCUCGUGGAGCUGAAGCCAGUCGAAGAUACCAGCUGGCUGCAACUGUUUAUUAAAAACACAGCACUGUGCAAACACGAAAGUGGACGUAUACGGUGUGACGCCUGCCCGGUGCCGGAAGGUUAAUUGAUGGGGUUAUCCGUAAGGAGAAGCUCUUGAUCGAAGCCCCGGUAAACGGCGGCCGUAACUAUAACGGUCCUAAGGUAGCGAAAUUCCUUGUCGGGUAAGUUCCGACCUGCACGAAUGGCGUAAUGAUGGCCAGGCUGUCUCCACCCGAGACUCAGUGAAAUUGAACUCGCUGUGAAGAUGCAGUGUACCCGCGGCAAGACGGAAAGACCCCGUGAACCUUUACUACAGCUUGACACUGAACAUUGAGCCUUGAUGUGUAGGAUAGGUGGGAGGCUUUGAAGCGUGGACGCCAGUCUGCGUGGAGCCAACCUUGAAAUACCACCCUUUAACGUUUGAUGUUCUAACCUGGCGCCGUAAUCCGGCGUGGGGACAGUGUCUGGUGGGUAGUUUGACUGGGGCGGUCUCCUCCCAAAGAGUAACGGAGGAGCACGAAGGUCAGCUAAUCACGGUCGGACAUCGUGAGGUUAGUGCAAUGGCAUAAGCUGGCUUGACUGCGAGAGUGACGGCUCGAGCAGGUGCGAAAGCAGGUCAUAGUGAUCCGGUGGUUCUGAAUGGAAGGGCCAUCGCUCAACGGAUAAAAGGUACUCCGGGGAUAACAGGCUGAUACCGCCCAAGAGUUCAUAUCGACGGCGGUGUUUGGCACCUCGAUGUCGGCUCAUCACAUCCUGGGGCUGAAGUAGGUCCCAAGGGUACGGCUGUUCGCCGUUUAAAGUGGUACGCGAGCUGGGUUUAGAACGUCGUGAGACAGUUCGGUCCCUAUCUGCCGUGGGCGCUGGAAGAUUGAGAGGGGUUGCUCCUAGUACGAGAGGACCGGAGUGAACGCACCGCUGGUGUUCGGGUUGUCAUGCCAAUGGCAUUGCCCGGUAGCUAAGUGCGGAAAAGAUAAGCGCUGAAAGCAUCUAAGCGCGAAACUUGCCUCGAGAUGAAUCUUCCCUGACUCCUUGAGAGUCCUGAAGGGACGUUGAAGACGACGACGUUGAUAGGCCGGGUGUGUAAGCGCAGCGAUGCGUUGAGCUAACCGGUACUAAUGACCCGUGAGGCUUAACCUU
rnacentral:rRNA from 1 species